rnacentral:RNase_P_RNA from 1 species
UGAGUAAGUCAGAUGGUCGCGGACAUUUUGUCCGAGGAAAGUCCGAGCUCCAUAGGGCAAGAUGCUGGGCAACUCCCAGUGAGGGUGACCUCAAGGAUAGUGCAACAGAGAGAUACCGCCCCAACUCGGGGUAAGGGUGGAAAGGUGAGGUAAGAGCUCACCAGCGGAAUGGCGACUUUCCGGCUAUGUAAACCCCAUCUGGAGCAAGACCAAAUAGGGAAACUUAUAUGGCGGCCCGUCAUGGUUUCCGGGUAAGGUCGCUAGAUAUGUCAGGCAACUGCCAUACAAGAUAGAUGACCAUCCAAUGACAGAACUCGGCUUAUAGACUUACUCAUUUA